GGUGGCUCAGUGGUAGAGCGCUUGCCUUACAUGCCUUGAGGCCCUGGGUUCGAUUCCCAGCACCA
rnacentral:tRNA from 1 species